rnacentral:rRNA from 1 species
GUGAGGAAUAUUGGUCAAUGGGCGAGAGCCUGAACCAGCCAAGUAGCGUGAAGGAUGACUGCCCUAUGGGUUGUAAACUUCUUUUAUAAAGGAAUAAAGUCGGGUAUGGAUACCCGUUUGCAUGUACUUUAUGAAUAAGGAUCGGCUAACUCCGUGCCAGCAGCCGCGGUAAUACGGAGGAUCCGAGCGUUAUCCGGAUUUAUUGGGUUUAAAGGGAGCGUAGAUGGAUGUUUAAGUCAGUUGUGAAAGUUUGCGGCUCAACCGUAAAAUUGCAGUUGAUACUGGAUAUCUUGAGUGCAGUUGAGGCAGGCGGAAUUCGUGGUGUAGCGGUGAAAUGCUUAGAUAUCACGAAGAACUCCGAUUGCGAAGGCAGCCUGCUAAGCUGCAACUGACAUUGAGGCUCGAAAGUGUGGGUAUCAAACAGGA